AUGGCUCAGAUUGAACGCUGGCGGCAGGCCUAACACAUGCAAGUCGAGCGGAUGACGAGAGCUUGCUCUCUGAUUCAGCGGCGGACGGGUGAGUAAUGCCUAGGAAUCUGCCUGGUAGUGGGGGACAACGUCUCGAAAGGGACGCUAAUACCGCAUACGUCCUACGGGAGAAAGCAGGGGACCUUCGGGCCUUGCGCUAUCAGAUGAGCCUAGGUCGGAUUAGCUAGUUGGUGAGGUAAUGGCUCACCAAGGCGACGAUCCGUAACUGGUCUGAGAGGAUGAUCAGUCACACUGGAACUGAGACACGGUCCAGACUCCUACGGGAGGCAGCAGUGGGGAAUAUUGGACAAUGGGCGAAAGCCUGAUCCAGCCAUGCCGCGUGUGUGAAGAAGGUCUUCGGAUUGUAAAGCACUUUAAGUUGGGAGGAAGGGUUGUAGAUUAAUACUCUGCAAUUUUGACGUUACCGACAGAAUAAGCACCGGCUAACUCUGUGCCAGCAGCCGCGGUAAUACAGAGGGUGCAAGCGUUAAUCGGAAUUACUGGGCGUAAAGCGCGCGUAGGUGGUUUGUUAAGUUGGAUGUGAAAGCCCCGGGCUCAACCUGGGAACUGCAUUCAAAACUGACAAGCUAGAGUAUGGUAGAGGGUGGUGGAAUUUCCUGUGUAGCGGUGAAAUGCGUAGAUAUAGGAAGGAACACCAGUGGCGAAGGCGACCACCUGGACUGAUA
rnacentral:rRNA from 1 species